CAGUCGCCGCGGUAAUACGAAGGGGGCUAGCGUUGUUCGGAAUUACUGGGCGUAAAGCGCACGUAGGCGGACUUUUAAGUCAGGGGUGAAAUCCCGGGGCUCAACCUCGGAACUGCCUUUGAUACUGGAAGUCUUGAGUAUGGAAGAGGUUAGUGGAAUUGCGAGUGUAGAGGUGAAAUUCGUAGAUAUUCGCAGGAACACCAGUGGCGAAGGCGGCUAACUGGUCCAUAACUGACGCUGAGGUGCGAAAGCGUGGGGAGCAAACAGGAUUAGAGACCCCCGUAGUCCCUGUCUCUUAUAC
rnacentral:rRNA from 1 species